rnacentral:rRNA from 1 species
GGACCCGCACAAGUAGUGGAGCAUGUGGUUUAAUUCGAAGAUACGCGCAGAACCUUACCUACUCUUGACAUACUUGGAAGCUCUUGUAAUGAGAGUGUGCCUUUUGGAACCAAGAUACAGGUGCUGCAUGGCUGUCGUCAGCUCGUGUCGUGAGAUGUUCCGUUAAGUCGGAUAACGAGCGCAACCCUUACCCUUAUUUGCCAGCGAUUCGGUCGGGAACUAUAAGGGGACUGCCGGUGAUAAACCGGAGGAAGGUGAGGACGACGUCAAGUCAUCAUGGCCCUUACGAGUAGGGCUACACACGUGCUACAAUGGGGAAUACAGACGGACGCUAAGCCGCGAGGUGGUGCUAA